rnacentral:lncRNA from 1 species
CAGUAACCAGUUUCAAACCCAGCCAGGCCCCUCAAGUACUGCAUCUCGAUCCAGAGCCAGCCCAGUCGCCCGGCCUGUGCUGCCAGUUCCUGAACGGAGCACCUACUGUCAGCUACUGGGAGGGGGGCCACUGGCCGGAGGUCUUCACAGCCCAACGAGUCCCAAGACAAGCCCAAGAUCUCCGGGUGAAACCUUUGUUUUCCCUCCUUUGUCUCCGCUUUCCCCAAUCUCCACCACGUCUCGCCCUUGGCCUCCGUCUCCACGAAGCCCAGAGCUCCUCGGAGUCAAUGUCGGUCAGCGCAUCCGACGCCUGAGCUCUCCCGGCAGUGAGGACGGGGAGGAAGGUGGCAGGCGGGAGGAAAGGGGAGGAGAAGCAGGAGGAGGAGAGAGGCGAGAGGAGAAAAAACGCCAGGCACAGCUGCUGCAGAUUCACAGGGAGCUGCAAAACGUGGAGGUCAGGGGGAAAGUGGGCAUUUUCGAAGCUCACAUAUCAGGGAUUCGUGCCCAGGUGCUAAACAGUGAACUCCAGCGCAGCCCACGCUCUCCUCGACGAACAACUUGUCAAACGUCUUCUCAUCUCAACCAAGGAGGAAACACAGUUCUUGAAUGCUCAAUGACCCACCCACUGCAGCCCAAAGUUCCCGCUGUUGUCCAAAACGGGAGAGGAAAAGAGGAGGAAACGGUGGACAUUAAUAGAAAGAGCGAGGCUGAGAGGGACAGCAGUGACACUGAGAGCCACACACUGAUCAAACAGAAUGACUGCCACUCACUAUCAGCAACGCAAACUCAGUGUUUAGAAGGACGGCCUGUCCAGGACUCACCUGGAACAACGGAAAAGGAUGCUACGAUGGAUGGAGGAGAGGAAACCGAAGGAGAAGCAAAGAGAGCAAAAAGGGGAGAAAAAGAGGAAGUGGAAAGCAACCCAACAGUUAAAUGUGAAUGGACUGCCGUUCCUCCUGCUAUUCCUGCCGUCAUCGUCACAGAACACGGCGUCACGGAGUCUCCAAUCGGUUCACACUUCUGCAAUCAACCUCUCAGGAAGCUUUCCUCUUCCUCUACCUCCUCGGCUGGCUUCUCUUCCUCCUGGGAAGAGUCUGAGGAGGAUAUCUCCAGCGACACAGAGAAAGAAGAACAGCUCCUGAGCCCUGUGGCCCUAAGCUCCCAACAAAGAGCAGUAAGUGCCUCAUUAGCAUAUUUAUCACUCACACACAACUAAAUCAGUGAUUUAUUUUACUUUUAUGUUCGAUCUAAUCCAGUGCUUGUGCAUGAAAA